rnacentral:rRNA from 1 species
ACGACCUACGGGACGCAGCAGUGAGGAAUAUUGGUCAAUGGCCGGGAGGCUGAACCAGCCAAGUCGCGUGAGGGAAGACGGCCCUACGGGUUGUAAACCUCUUUUGUCAGGGAGCAAGAGGCGGGUCGAGACCUGCUGUGAGAGUACCUGAAGAAAAAGCAUCGGCUAACUCCGUGCCAGCAGCCGCGGUAAUAAGGAGGAUGCGAGCGUUAUCCGGAUUUAUUUGGUUUAAAGGGGGCGCAGGCGGAGGCACAAGUCAGCGGUAAAAUCGCGGGGCUCAACCCCCCUCCCCCCUUGAAACUGUG